UGCGCGGCCCGAUUACCGGCUGUGCAGUGAGGAGGUCCGCCACCAAGCCUCCUCGCCUCUGAUCCCGCCUCCGCUUCACCGCUCGGCCGCCGCCUCCAUCUUGUAUUCCGGAGCGCCGCGCUGCACUGCGCAGGCGCGCCUCCACGGCGCGCAGCCGCUGAUUGGCUGGCGCGAGAAAGGCGCGCGAACGGCGAUUGGCUGGGCCGCAGACAUCAGUAAUGGACGUUCUGAUUGGUUGAAUUGACGGCCAUCAUCGCUGUAUCCGAUUGGACGGAGCUCCCGCUAAAGAGCCAGAGGUUUGGUGAUUGGCCGUCGAGUGGCACGUGAAAAAACGCUACCACUUACGGCUGUGAUUUUUGGCCAUCUUACUCGGAGCCCCCCUCUGCUGCGCAGGACAAGAGAAUCUUUCCCAUCGAUGAAAAAUAAAUGAGUUAUUAGUGUUUAAAAAAUGUUGAGAUUGUCUCUCCUGAAAGCCGCGCCCCUUCCGGACGACUAUAAAACCAGGAAGUGUUGAGUGCCUCAGUCAGUCUCUGCAAGAUGGGGGAGCGAGAGGAUCAUGUCUCUCAGUCUGAGCUGUGAAUAACGCUGAACACAUGUCUACUAAACUAUCACAGCAAUGAAGCAGGAAAGUCUAUCCUUGUGUGGAUCUCUGGAGAGCUAGUGUGGGUGUUGUGUGCUGAAGGACUGGUUCCUAGAGGGCUGGUAUGGACAUUGUGGACUGAAUGGAUUCUUGGACUUGCAGUUCAGUGAGUCAUGGCUGGUGUGCUUGAAGUCCAGUCACAUGGCUGGUGUGGUGGCAGUUCACUCAAGUCACCCCUCCUCCCUUCACCUCCCCACUUGCCAUUCCCCUCCCCCCACACAUUCAGUCCAUCUCCCCUCAACCUCCCCCCAUGCACUCUUAGUGGCUCUCCGACAGCGCAGCCAUUCCUGCCUAUUAGGUUCCCAGUGUGAUGAAGAACACGCAGGCAUGGCAAGUGAAAAAAGGAUUUAUUAAAGUUUAAAAUGUGAAUAAGUCUUAAAAUAUAACAACAAUUUAAAUGUUAAAGAUGAGAUUUAUUAAGUUAUUUCUUGUUGUGUCUCUUGUUGUGUUCUGCUGCUCACUGCCUCUUGAUGCCUCUUUGCUGUUGAUAAAAAAAAAAAAUUAAUAUAGAGAGAUUGCGCGGUCACAUUUUAACAAAGAAAAUCUGAGAAUUUACCUCGUCAUCAUUCAAUGCAGACCUGCAAAUCCAAUCUCACAGCACUCGAAGCGGAGUGCAGGCCACAAAUCCAACCUCACAGCACUCCAAGCAGAGUGCAGGCAGCAAGUCCAACCUCACAGCACUACAAGCAAAAUGCAAGCAGGAAGCCCAACCUCACAGCACUCCGAGUCAGUCAGCAAGUCUAACGUCGCAGCACUCCAAGCAUAUUGCAGGCAGCAAGUCCAACCUCACAGCACUGCAAGCACAGUGCAAGCAGCAAGUCCAACCUCGCAGCACU